rnacentral:rRNA from 1 species
AGAGGGGGGUAGAAUUUCAGGUGUAGCGGUGAAAUGCGUAGAGAUCUGAAGGAAUACCGGUGGCGAAGGCGGCCCCCUGGACAGAUACUGACACUCAGAUGCGAAAGCGUGGGGAGCAAACAGGAUUAGAUACCCUGGUAGUCCACGCCGUAAACGAUGUCUACUUGGAGGUUGUGGCCUUGAGCCGUGGCUUUCGGAGCUAACGCGUUAAGUAGACCGCCUGGGGAGUACGGUCGCAAGAUUAAAACUCAAAUGAAUUGA